rnacentral:rRNA from 1 species
CUAGCCUGCGCCAGCUUUCUCGCUCGGGUGGGAACACAAGAAAAGUAAGCGGCCCAUCGGCCCAGUCCGACGCUACAUCGCCUCACUCAGUCGCCAUCAUCGUCGGUCAGUCGCUCUGUCUCUCCCUAGGGUUCGCUACGCCGGCGGUGAAGAGCAGCCGCUGCUCCAUCAGGGCGCGAGCAGCCUAGCCGUGGAGCGGCAGAGCCAGCCGUUGCCCCGUCCAUGGUGUGAGGAUGCCUAGCCGUCGAGAUGGCGGAGCCAGCCGCGGCCACGUACAGGGUGCGACGCCCCCGGUGCCGUCGAGACCGUUGAGCCGCGGACCAAGCAUCGUCGAUGCCGCUGAUUCUUCCCCAAGGAUUUCUCUGCUGCUUGCCUCGCGUUGCAUUGGUUUGCUGCUUGCUUUGCCUUGCUGUACAUGUUCAGUUUCAGUUGUGCAGAAACUGCAAUUUUAGUUGUGCAGACAGCAGAGAAGCAGCAGCAACAAAGAAGCAGCAACAGCAGGAGAACUGCCAGAUUGAGCUUGUAACUGAUGUGAAUUGUACACUUCAGUGAAUAGUGUGACUGAAUGUUGUAUCCAGAUUGUAAUCAUGUAAUUUGAGAGUGUAGUUGAGUGAAUUUGAGUGUGAUUACUGUUACAAAUAUUGAAUGUGAAUCACUGAAGUUCUGUGUA